rnacentral:rRNA from 1 species
CUGAAACCGGUCGCAUGCAAGCCGUCAGAGCCUGUGUGGUGAUGGCGUGCCUUUUGAAGAAUGAGCCUGCGAGUUAGUGAUGCGUGGCGAGGUUAACCCGUGGUGGGGGAGUCGUAGCGAAAGCGAGUCCGAUAAGGGCGUGAGUCGCGUGUUCUAGACCCGAAGCGGUGUGAUCUAUCCAUGGCCAGGAUGAAGCGUCGGUAAGACGUCGUGGAGGUCCGAACCCACUUCAGUUAAAAAUGGAGGGGAUGAGUUGUGGAUAGGGGUGAAAGGCCAAUCAAACACCGUGAUAGCUGGUUCUCCCCGAAAUGCAUUUAGGUGCAGCGUUGCGUGGUUCUUGUUGGAGGUAGAGCACUGGAUGGUCUAGGGGGCUUAUCGGCUUACCGAAAUCAGCCAAACUCCGAAUGCUGGCAAGUGUAGCGUGGCAGUGAGACGGCGGGGGAUAAGCUUCGUCGUCGAGAGGGAAACAGCCCAGAUCAUCAGCUAAGGCCCCUAAGUGGUGACUCAGUGGGAAAGGAUGUGGAGUUGCGUAGACAACUAGGAUGUCGGCUUAGAAGCAGCCACCAUU